GGAGCGAGGACGGAUCUGGAAGAAGCGAAGUCAUCGGCAUCAUGAACAUCGCUACAAAGAGGAUGGCUUCGAUGGACGAAGGAGGAGGUUGCUUGCGAUGACCUCCACGAUAGAGAUGAAAGCCUCCUCCCGGCUACCCUCAGCAUCUUCCUCUCUUCCUCCUCAAGCAGGUGUUGUGGCAAUGGCUAGGUAUCGGACUGGUUUAG
rnacentral:misc_RNA from 1 species